ACAAUGCCCUUCUCUCACGCACUUAUCAUCAACACACCACUUACCUUCAACAUUCACAAGGCUUUUGAUUGAGUAUUGUUCAAAUCUGAGGACGUUAAUAGCAGGAGGACUGUUACCCAAGGCACUUAAAUUCCUUCGGUUUCAAGGUUGCCCAAAGCUAGAGCUAAAAGUGGAGAGUUUUGAUAAUAAUACGUCUCUUGAACAUAUUUUUAUCAGCGGAUGUGAUCAUCUUAAAUCAGUUCCCGAAGGCCUACACACUCUACACAAUCUUAGUUCUAUAACAAUAGAAAAUUGCCCAAAUCUUGUUUCUUUCCCAAAAGAUGGGCUUCCUAACACUGAUUUAAGAGUCACUAUCAGUGGAUGUAAGAAGCUACAAGCCCUACCUAGUCACAUGCACACCCUCAAAUCUCUUCAAUCCCUAGCCUUACGGAAUAAUCCAAAAAUGGCCUUCUUUCCUGAACAAGAUAUUCCCACCAAUCUAACAUCACUUGACGUUGAUGAUCCCAACAUCUACAGCACACUUGCUGAGUGGGGCUUCCACAAACUCAUCUCUCUUAGAACACUCUGUAUUGACGGAUUCCCAAAUGCAGUGUCCUUUCCAGAGGAGGAGAAGGAAAUGAAGUUGCCAGCCUCUCUAGUUCAUGUAAAAUUACAAAAACUCACAAAAUUGAAAUACCUAUCUCCCAGGGGUUUCCAGAAUCUCACCUCUCUUGAAAACUUGGAGAUCAUUAAUUGCCCAAAUCUCACAUCCUUGCCACACCUUCCAUCUUCGCUUCUUCAACUAUAUAUUAGUGGUUGUCCAUUGCUGAAACAAAGGUGCAAAAGGGAUGAAGGACAAGAGUGGUCUAAGAUAGCCCACAUCCCUCACGUUGAGAUAGACAGCUGGUUAAGAAAAUUGGUGUCUAUUUGAUAUCAGAAACAAUGGAAAAGACUGAAUCACUUCAUACUUAGGGGCUAUUCAGGAACCAACUUGAAUGUAUCUACUCGAAUGCAUAUGCCAACAUGGAAAUGGCAGCGGUUGAUUGGAUGGUUUUUACUAUUGUUCAGCUCUGUGAAAACAGAGGCUGAUACAGAGCUCACCGCAUUGCAAAAUAAUGUAAGUUUACUAUUCAUUCAUCUUGCUAGUAACACAAUGUAAGAGGUAUCAAUUCUGUUUUAUUCCCUGUUAUUGAUAUUUCAGGCCUACAUGUUGAUCACUAAAAUAUGUCGUAGCUUGGAAUUUAAUUGUUCUUGCAUCAUUUUGAAA